GGGCCGCGCGGGCACGGCACGGACCCCUCCGCCCCGCCCCGCCCCUCCCCUCGCGGGCGGGGACGCCGCACUGCGCAGGCGCCAACUCCCCCCCCCCUCCUGCCUACUGCCCCUCCACUCCGGCGCCAAGCCCCGGCUGGAGGGGAGGGGGCGCGCGGUCAGGGGCGGCGCAUGCGCGCUGCGAGCUUCGCGCCUCUUGAGGGGGGGGGGCGCUGGGGUGUCUCGCGCCGCACCUGAGGGGCAGAGAAGCAGUUACUGUAAAUAGCUACCAGGUGAAUUUGCUCAAGCUUGUGCCCUGAGAUUCAGCUUACGCUAGUAGCUGUGCUGCUCACCCAGGGUCUUCAGAUGGCAGAAAGGAGCUAGGAGCAGCUGAGAAGCACACACCUGGUAAUCAGUGAAGAGCUUAAUGCAGCACGAGCAUGGCUGUGUAAGCAAAGACCCUGGCUGUGAGAAGCAGUAAAGAAGAGACCAGGGAGUGAAUACAUUGGAAGAGGCUGUUGUGAAGCAAUGUUCUUCUGCUAUGGCAGCAUUUACAUCGCAUUACUAGCAUAUGGGAGAGUUUUAAGGUAUACAUCAGUUUUCAGCAACUUCUGUGAUUCCUAAGGUUAGCGUAAUCCCAAUUUCUCCCAAAAUGGGACUAAAAUGGAGGAAAUUUGAGCUUGUCUAUGUAGAUUGGGUUUUGAUAAUUCAAUUAGGCACUAUAAAGAAGGAACUGGAUGAGUCUUAUCCCAUAAUUGCCUUCUGGGCCUCACUCAAACUGCCCCAGGGGAGACACGAGCCUCUAAGGACCAAGGCCAUCUGCUCACUGGUGGGCUCCACCCAUUGCGACACUCCUUUUGGGUUAUCUGCGGGAAGCUGCUAUAUUCUCUUCCAUACAUUCACGGUGGCAUAAACUGGUCUUGUAACAUAAAUCAUUUUGCAGAUUAGAGAAAUGAUUAAUCUGUAGAAUGCCUUGGAAUCUCAGAACAUCUUACCACCGGGGAAAGAGAUUGUAAUUAUUACGCAAACAAAAGUUCUUGUGGAAAAUCCAAAAAUAAUUCUCCAUUCUGAUGAACAAUUUUGACAAGAUGAUUUGAGCAUGAUUGCAGUUACAACCAAGCAGUAAAGCAAACACUUCUGCUAGGCUUGGGCACUCUGUAAUCAUAUUAAUUGAACAGGUGGAAAGAAUAGAAUCUUAUUUAUACUUGCAAAACAGGCCUGCACAAGCCCAGAGCUUUAGCAGUACUUGGUACAUUCUGAACCAGAAGACUGGAAAUAUUUUAGUUUCCGUAAGGAAUAGCCCUGCUAUAAACUGAACCUCCCGCUGCGGUGGCUGUUUCUACAGAAUAGAAGACAUGGUUGCUGUUGGAAAAGGAGGGGGUCUUUCCUACUGAAAAGUGAAAUCUGAUAGUAGAAAGUAAGUGACAAGACAAGUAUUUACAUGGGUCACCUGCAUGCUUUUACAGUUGUCUCCUCCAAUUCUGCUAUAACGUGGAAACACAAGGAGAAUCAACAGUGGCGACAAACUAAGCCAUUUAAUAAUUUUCUAAUUCUUGGCAGUAGCAUUUAUGUAUUUGCUUCACCUAGAAGGCCUAAAUCGAGCAAAGGAGGAGAAUCAAGAUAACACAUACGCUCCUGUUUGCUUUGGUCCUUCUGUUUCAACCACUUUAUCACUAUAGUAUGUUGUGGUAUUCUAGCCUGCAGCCCAGAAGCAGACUUUAGCUUAAACUAUAGUAUAACUUCCUGGUUUUGUUAGCAUUUUCCUUUGCAGUGGUGUUUCACCUUUGCUAAUACAUGGACUCUAUUGCUCCUCCCUAUCUAUUUCCACAGGCGAAAAAAUGCAGAGAGCAGGUGAUAAGCUUUGCUUUCUUAGCACUGAACUGUGAAUUUUCAGUAGCAAGAAAGGGCUUGCAGCACGUCAGAACUGGGAGGCUACAGUGGCUGAAUUCCUAGCGUUCCUAUAUUAAUGUUUAUUUACUGGCAAGAUAGUCUUUGCUCACAGUUAUCUGGGGCACAGGCCUUCUUCUGUAACUUGAAAGGAGAAUUUGUGCUCUAUACAGUUCCAGACGAUGUAAUCCGAGUGAUUCCUAAUUAUAUUUUUUUCCAGUUGUGCUUCGUUUAGAGCUUCUGUUGAUUUUAAGGAUGAUGCAUGUACUUAAUUCUGAACAUUCAUUUCAUUCUAGUUCAGAAUGGAGAAUUGCUAAUACUCAUUUGAAAGCUCCAGCAUCUCAGUUGCACGUACCCUACGUUAAAGGGAGCGGACAGUAUCAGAUUUAUUUUUCAGACUACAGUACUAUCAGAAUGUUAGCAAAGCUUACAAAGAAAAACAUACCUGGACUACAAAUUUUAAAUGGAAUGAACAAGUUUCUGACUUACUAACUACACCAAAAAUUUGAUUUGUCUGAUCAUAUCUACUUGUCUUUUCAGAUUUUUCUUCGAAUGAAGCAAAUCCCUUAAAUCUAGCAUGAAUGUAUGAAUCUUCUGUUACUGUAAGUCCCUGCAUUCUUGAAAUAAAGUCAAAAGGGAAUGGGUAGAGGCCGUUC